GACUUUCUGUGUGCAUGUUCUCUUUCAUGAAGCCAAGGACAAAAAGAGAUAGCAGACUUGGACUGAAAUUGAGAGGAACACAUUAAAAUCAGUCUGAAGGAUUGUCUUGAAGUAUUGUGAAACUUCACAGAACAUAAAGUUUUAUUCUGCAAGCUCUACAAUAAGAGUCACAGAAAGGGUUUGGAAUGAUACACAAGACUGGCGUGGUCACAGACAUGAAUCAAUGUGGUAAAUGGAGAGCAAAAAAGGGUCCAGGCAUACUUGUAUGUUCUUGAAGAUUCCACACAAGGAAAAAAAAGAUCCUGUCUUUAGGAAGGGUGGAGCACAGCCUUUUUUUGGUUCAUUAUAUUAUGCACCUAUUGUCAACAUUUUGCAGAAAAGACAAUGAAUCUAGAGGCUUUCAAAUACAUUACACUGAAAAAGUGCUUAACAGUGAUACGAGAGUUAAAAAUAAUGAUACAAGAAAAUUGAAAAGAAAAAGACUGACAAAAUUCCAGUAGAAUUCACUGAACCAGAACAGCAAAUAUUCUAAAAUCAAAAAACCAAGGUUUUUUAGUGAGGAGAUAUUUUAUCUAUUUUCAGCAGUUGCUGUGAAGAUAAAACCAAGGGUUUUUAAAUUUAUAUGGUCCAAAAAUGCAUAGAUACCACAGCCUCAGAAGCAGGUACAAGUUCUAUCCAUUAUAGGAAAGGGAAUGGAAGACUAGCCCUAAUCUGAUUUUCCAGGUUUUUUUAAUGUUUGCUAUGACAGAAGCCAUUAUUAAUUAAAUCAAAAUUUAACCCAUCCCUAGAAGGCACUUUAAAAUUCAACUUGUUUCAGAAAUCCCACAGAGCCCUGGGGCAUCAGGGUCUGAGGAGGACAUGAUGUCCAAACAGGCAGCUCUGAGGAAGAAACACAAUUCCUAGAGAACCAAGCUAUUAGGAAAAAACUCCAGUUAUGAACAGCAUCAAAUUCUUCAUAGCACUCUAAAGCUCAACAAGAUGUAGCCUAGAAGCUGUCAUUCUGCUAUUUGGAUAUCAGGCAUCCAUUUGGAGAGUGGGAUAGCUAUGGAGCACAUGGAAAUGCUCCCAGUAUGAGCAGCUGUGACUGAGAUGAUGGAUAGCACAGGUCUUUGCCACUGGAUCUGAACAUUUCAGUUGCUAUGAACCAUUAGUACAAACACCACCCUGGAUGCUCUGUCACUGACUAAAGUUGUGGUACAUGGAAAAGGCUCAUGCUCAGCUCAGCCUUCUGCCUCAGGCACUUCCUCUAAGGGCACUGGGAAACAGAAAUAUAGGGAAGAAAAGGUUUGUGAUUACACUGAGAUUCUCUUGUGCAUGUUUGCAUAAUAUAUUUCCCAUAGCAUAAUAACUCCCUAGCCUGUUUUUAGCUGUCUGCCUACAAUACUGGAUGAAUAGCAGGAUUAGAAAUGUCCUUGUUACAAUUUUAUUCCCUCUCCAUGCCAUUUUUCUCAGGAUUGUACUUCUUUUCCUCUCCUGUACAAGAUAAUAAAAUAAUGAAAUACCUUUCCUAUUAUCCAGCUAUUCAGCUGAAAAUAUGAGGCUAAUGAAGGCAUGACUCAAUGUCCAUUUGGAAAGUCAAUCAAAGUGAAUUUCAAUCAAUUCUCAAAGGUUUACAAAUGAGCUGAAA